CGUUGCAGCCAUAUCACCCUGCAGCCCAAGACUGGUUGCCCACUGAAGCUAAGCAGGGUUGAGCCUGGUCAGUACCUGGAUGGGAGACCUCCUGGGAAAACUAGGUUGCUGCUGGAA
rnacentral:rRNA from 1 species